ACGAACGCUGGCGGCAUGCCUAACACUUGCAAGUCGAACGAGACCUUCGGGUCUAGUGGCGCACGGGUGCGUAACGCGUGGGAACCUGCCCUUAGGUUCGGAAUAACUCCCCGAAAGGGGUGCUAAUACCGGAUAAUGUCUUCGGACCAAAGAUUUAUCGCCUUUGGAUGGGCCCGCGUUGGAUUAGCUAGUUGGUAGGGUAAAAGCCUACCAAGGCGACGAUCCAUAGCUGGUCUGAGAGGAUGAUCAGCCACUCUGGGACUGAGACACGGCCCAGACUCCUACGCGAGGCAGCAGUGGGGACUAUUGCACACUGGGCGAAAGCCUGAUCCAGCAAUGCCGCGUGAGUGAUGAAGGCCUUAGGGUUGUCAAGCUCUUUUACCCGGGAUGAUAAUGACAGUACCGGGAGAAUAAGCUCCGGCUAACUCCGUG
rnacentral:rRNA from 1 species